UCAUGUAGGCUAGUGCACUACUUAUGACCAAGAGCCAUACACAGGUUGGCUGACGUCACGAAAAACAAUGGCCGGAAUGCGUGUAUCUUGUUAUGACUCUAAACCUCAGCUAGCAACAAUAAGCUGCCGUGUGGGGAAUAGUAGAUCUUCGGCAUGUUUCAGCUCGUUGUAUCUUGUUAUUGACACCAUGUCGUCUUGUUUGGAGGAUCACAUAUUCCUACAAAUUCAGUCUGUAGUAGGUCAAAGGUCACCGCCUAUGGAGAGGUAGGCCCAGAGCCAUGUAUUUGGAAAGUUGGGACAUUCAAAUAUCUGCAUUGUUGCAUUUACAUCAAUAUGUAUACAUUACAUGACACAGUAUAAUCAAAUAUAUCCAUAUUUGGCUCCCCAUGGGCAAUAUUGACAUUUUAAACAAUGCUAUGUAACAGAAAAUCUAUUUUAUAAUUGACUUGUAAUGAAAGGCUCAAAGGUGUUAACAUGGAGUCCUUUCUAAAAGUUUGCCAAAUUCUCUAAAUAUAUAACUCUGGAUAGGCAGAGUCAUCUCAGAGUAUUGGAACCAUAGAAUUCCAGUGAUUCUAUUCUAACUCUAGAAUGAUUAAUUCUACUUCUAUUAUUCUAAUUCUAUAAUUGGAGCACAUCCUCACACUAUAGCACAUUAUAGUGACCUUAGAGAGAUUCCUUUUUCUGUAUCUAGAUCUGAUAAAGAUCACAGAGCGGUUGAGAGACAGACCAAGUUGAGAGACAGAUAUCCCAACUCUGUCACUAGAGGCUGAAGGAGAGAUUGAGAUGCAGGAGGCUGAUCUGAAGACAGAUGGCACGUCUCAGUCACAGAAGGUUGAAGGAGAGAUUGAGUUGGACGAUGCUGUUGCCAUCCCAUCUCAGUCACAGAAGGUUGAAGGAGAGAUUGAGUUGGACGAUGCUGUUGCCAUCCCAUCUCAGUCACAGAAGGUUGAAGGAGAGAUUGAGUUGGACCAGGCCGUUGUCAUCCCAUCUCAGUCAAAGGAGGAGGCCAAAGGAGAGAGUGAGUUGAAUCAGGUUGAUCUGAAGACAGCCACAUCAACUGACACUGGGGGUCGAAGGAGAGAGUGUGAUGCAGGAGAGUGAUGAUCUAGAAACAGCCGGUCCAUCUCAAUCCCAGGAGACUGAAUGAGUGGCAAAGGCAAAUGCUUCCAGAU
rnacentral:lncRNA from 1 species